GCCCCCGAACGCUUUAGCCAGAUGAGCAGCGGUUUUUUAAGCCGUGGAAGCAGGUGCGAUUCCUGACGGGGGCA
rnacentral:tRNA from 1 species